UUGCUAGUUCCUUUGCAUAGGUCACUCCCAGUGCAGCUGCAAAGAUGCUAUAAGAAGAGCCUUCUCAAUAGGGUCUGAACUGCAUUGCCACAGAAGGGACAGCAAGAUGGUUUGUCAGACCCCAAUGCUCCUGACUGUGUUUCUCUGUGUCUCUGGUGUCUGCAGUGACAUUGUGAUGACCCAGUCUCCAGCCUCCCUGGCAGUGACUCCUGGAGAGAGUGCCACCAUCCACCGCAAGUCCAGCCAAAGUCUUCUAUACAGUUAUGACAACAAGAACUACUUAAUCUGGUACCAGCAGAAACCAGGGCAAUCUCCCAAACUGCUCAUCUACUUGGCAUCCACCCGAAAUACUGGGGUCUCAGACCGGUUCAGUGGCAGUGGGUCUGGCACAGACUUUACUCUCACCAUCAGCAGGGUGCAGGCUGAAGAUGUGGCAGAUUAUUAUUGUAUGCAGACUUACAGUGCUCUUCCCACAGUGAUUCAGCCUCGUACAUAAACUUCCUCUCAGUAU